GCCAGCGUGGCAUAGUGGUUUGGGUGUUGGACUACAACUCUGGAGACCAGGGUUUGAUUCCCAAUUUGGCC